rnacentral:rRNA from 1 species
UACGGAGGGUGCGAGCGUUGUUCGGAAUCGCUGGGCGUGAAGCGCGUGUAGGCGGCUUCUUAAGUCUGGUGUGAAAGCCCGGGGCUUACCCCCGGAAGGGCACUGGAGACUGGGAAGCUAGAGUACCGGAGAGGAGGGUUGAAUUCCUGGUGUAGCGGUGAAAUGCGUAGAUAUCAGGAGGAACACCGGUGGCGAAGGCGGCCCUCUGGACGGAUACUGACGCUGAGACGCGAAAGCGUGGGGAGCAAACAGG